AGUGGGGAAUAUUGCACAAUGGGCGCAAGCCUGAUGCAGCCAUGCCGCGUGUAUGAAGAAGGCCUUCGGGUUGUAAAGUACUUUCAGCAGUGAGGAAGGGGUGUGCGUUAAUAGCGUACAUCUUUGACGUUAGCUGCAGAAGAAGCACCGGCUAACUCCGUGCCAGCAGCCGCGGUAAUACGGAGGGUGCGAGCGUUAAUCGGAAUUACUGGGCGUAAAGCGCAUGCAGGUGGUGUGUUAAGUCAGAUGUGAAAGCCCGGGGCUCAACCUCGGAAUAGCAUUUGAAACUGGCAGACUAGAGUACUGUAGAGGGGGGUAGAAUUUCAGGUGUAGCGGUGAAAUGCGUAGAGAUCUGAAGGAAUACCGGUGGCGAAGGCGGCCCCCUGGACAGAUACUGACACUCAGAUGCGAAAGCGUGGGGAGCAAA
rnacentral:rRNA from 1 species